rnacentral:tRNA from 1 species
GCCUGGUUUCCUGAGAGGUCAAAAGGCGCAGUCUGCAAAACUGUUGUUCGCCGGUUCGAAUCCGGCACCAGGCU